UAACUAUAAAUUUGACAAAACUACCAAAAAAAGAAAUGUGAAAAUAUGCAUCGAAAUUUGUUUAGAAUUAACCUCAGACGAAAACAGAAACGGAAACAAUAGUCCUGGCAGUGCUGACACCGAUACCGAAAAUUAAAAGUUUAGAGAAAUUAGAAAUGCCAAUUUUGCUUCAUAUUCACAAUUGACAGAAAGAAAACUGUAAGAGAAGACAGAUUGAUCUCCAGAACUACAAGAGUGGGUCUCAAGUGUAUUUAUACUAAUAGCUUGACUUCAUUUUCUGGGACAAAUGACAACACCUCAUUUCAAGUGGUGUAGCCAUCCUGCAAAUAUAAUCGUGCUAUGUAAAUAUUUAAUUGUUUGCUCACUGUAUAAACAUUUGAUU